AGCUUUGCGCAGUGGCAGUAUUGUAGCCAAUGAGGUUUAUCCGAGGCGCGAUUAUUGCUAAUUAAAAAUAUCCUUCUAUAUUUUC
rnacentral:snRNA from 1 species